AGACCAGCAGGUGGAGAUGAAGGUGACUGAAGGCUUAGAGUCUAUCAUCCUGCCCUGCAAAACAAAACCUUACCUGCCUGAGGACAGCACAGUGGAGUGGACUCGCUCUGACCCAGAACUCAUGAUGGUCCAUAUGUAUGCAAACGAAGGCGACCAACUUAAUGACCAGGACGGCCUUUACAGAGACCGAACAACAGUGAAUGAAGACCUGCUGAGAACUGGAGACCUCAGUCUGAUCCUGAAAAACCCCACAAAGAGAGACAGUGGAGGAUACAUCUGCACCAUCUACAGGGACAAAGACAUCCUGAGACAGAAAGUAGAGCUGCAGGUCAAAGAGCCAUUCCCAUCUUGGGCCAUAGCUCUCCCAAUUAUCCUGGUUGUUCUUGGGGUUUCUGGAGGUCUUUUAUUUCAUUUCCGGCACUAUUUCAUGUCAGUUUACCAGGUGGUGGUGGAUUCAGGGGUGGAGUCUGUCCAGCUGCCCUGCAAAGGCACACUUCACCUCCCCAAAGAUGCUAAAGUGGAGUGGAUGGACAACAAUGACAGGAAGGUCCACGUGUAUGUGAAUGGCCCUGAUGAACCUGAACAACAGGACGAGUUUUACACAGAUCGAACGAAGAUGAAUGAAGGCCUGUUGAAAACUGGAGACUUCAGUCUGACCCUGAAAUACCCCACGAACACAAACAGCUACACCUGCACCGUCUACAGCAGGGAGGGAAAGAUCCUGCUGAAGAAACAAGUGGUGCUCACUGUUAUAGUCCCCCAGGUGGUGGUGGAUUCAGGGGUGGAGUCUGUCUUGUUGGACUGUAGAACCACACUUAAGUUACGUGAAGGUGCUAAAGUGGAGUGGAGAGACGCUUACAGGAAGGUCCAUGUGUAUCAGGAUGGCUCGACUAAGCCAGAGAAACAGGAUCAGGUGUACAGAGGCCGAACAGAGAUGAAUAAAGAUGCGCUGAGGACUGGAGACCUCAGUCUGACCCUGAGAUACCCCACAAUCACAAACAGCUACACCUGCACCCUCUUUAACAGGGAGGAACACAUCCUGCUGAAGAAACAAGUGGUGCUCAAUGUCAGAGUCCACCAGGUGGCCGUGGAUUCAGGGGAGAUGUCUGUCCAACUGCCCUGUGAAACCACACUUGAGUUGCCUCAUGAUGCUAAAGUGGAGUGGAGAGACACUUACAAAAAGGCCCAUGUGUAUGAGGAUGGCUCUAAUAAACCAGAAAAACAAGAUCAGGAUUACAGAGGCCGGACAGAGGUGAAUGAAGACCUGCUGACAACUGGAGACCUCAGUUUGACCCUGCAAUACCCCACAGAGAGGGACACACAAGUCUACACCUGCACCGUCUACAGCAAGGAGGGAAAAAUCAUGUUCAAGAAGGCAGUUAAUCUGAAAGUCAAUGGUCAGAGAUUUAAAUGACUCUAUUUGUUCACACACUGUGUUCUGUGUGUGUGUGUGUGUGUGUGUGUGUGUGUGUGUGUGUGUGUGUGUGUGUGUGUGUGUGUGUGUGUGUGGCCUACAGUAGUCUACUAUCUUAUACAGUUUGUGUGCUGCCUUUAGC
ensembl:lncRNA